AAAAAUCAGUUGAAAAAGUCAAAAAAUUGAAAAAAGAUGAAAUCCAAUAAAAAUUUUAAAAAAUAUUCAGCGGGUUGAAUUUGGUGCCCAAACUUUCCAAAUCAAAAAUUCAAUAUUUAAGGACAUUCCAGAUUUAAUUUCGUGAUUUUUUGAUAUCGGGAACACCUCGAACGAAGUUGUAAAGUUACUCCGCAGUUUUUCGAGUUUUUCAAUUUCAACAAUUUUUAUUAAUUCUUAGCUGUAGGUUUUCAUUUGUUUGCUUUUAUUCUCCCUUUACAAUAUCUAACACCUUUUUGUUUCUUGUGUUAGUAGGAUUUAAACGUGUGCACAAUUUUUCCUCGGUGCAACACGAAUCAAUUGGUAUCUCGUCAGUUUUUGGCAUCCUAUUGCAAAUUAGGAUUCUUUGGUAGUUUUGGUUCAUACACUUUCUAAUUGAUUGAUAGAGACUUUACUAAAGAACUCACAAGAUUGAAUUCUAACUCAUUGAGAAUUUGAUUUUCUUUUGAGUGAUUAACGGUGAGGUUUGCUUACUUUCCCUUUUGAGUGUUGAGUGUUUAUUUUACAGAUUUUUGAAAAUGUCUAAGAUUGGUCAAUGUGAUAAUGACCAUAAUAAUGUCCAUGAUAAACUUAAAAUGAUCCAACAACAGUUAGACGAACGGGCUGCCAUACUUCGAAUAUUGAGUGCUACUAUCAAUGAGAUGCGGGUGGAGCAAAGAGUCCAACGAGGACAACUUAAUUCAAGUGAAAGGGCAAAAAUGAGAGUGCCAAAAAGACGAACAUCCAACGAAUAUUCGAAAACAGAUUCCUAUGACUCCCAUUCAAUGAGGAAUUCAAGGCGAUGUAAAGCAAGUUUCGAGAGUGAAGUUUUUCAAGGGGAUCAUUGUUCGUAUACAAGUCAUUCCGUACAUACCCAACGAUAGCCUUUCCGUUCUAAUUCAUUUGUAACAUCUCUAUCUUGUAAUGAAAGGAAGACACAAAAAGAAAUCAAAAAAGAAAAAGAGAAGGAAAAAGAGCAAAAAGAGAUUGAGAGUGGAAAGGAAUGUGAAACAAACAAUAAAAUUGAAAAAAAAAUUGAAGAAACAAAUGAAAAAGACGAGGAAAGGGUAGUGAGGAAUGUUUCCACUAACCAAGAUAGGAAUUUUUCUUCUGUUGCUACUUUUCAGGUUCCCAAAAUACCGAAAGAUAACUUUCAACUUUAAUACCUUUCCGAUGAAAGACGCUUUCAUACGAUCAACAUAGGCAAGGUUGAAGAUGAAAUCACACUACAUGAGCCCGAAGGUAAGCGAGGUAAGGAAAUUUUAGCCACUGAGUCCCAUGCAGAUUUGAAAAGAGAUUCCUAUGACUCCCAUUCAAUGAGGAAUUCAAGGCAAUGCAAAGCAAGUUUCGAGAGUGAAGUUUUCCAAGGGGAUCAUUGUUCGUAUACAAGUCAUUCCGUACAUACCCAACGAGAGCCUUUCCGUUCUAAUUCAUUUGUAACAUCUCUAUCUUGUAAUGAAAGGAAGACACAAAAAGAAAUCAAAAAAGAAAAAGAGAAGGAAAAAGAGCAAAAAGAGAUUGAAAGUGGAAAGGAAUGUGAAACAAACAAUAAAAUUGAAAAAAAAAUUGAAGAAAUAAAUGAAAAAUACGAGGAAAGGGUAGUGAGGAAUGUUUCCACUAACCAAGAUAGGAAUUUUUCUUCUGUUGCUACUUUUCAGGUUCUCAAAAUAUCGAAAGAUAACUUUCAACUUUAAUACCUUUCCGAUGAAAGACGCUUUCAUACGAUCAACAUAGGCAAGGUUGAAGAUGAAAUCACACUACAUGAGCCCGAAGGUAAGCGAGGUAAGAAAAUUUUAGCCACUGAGUCCCGUGCAGAUUUGAAAAGAGAUUCCUAUGACUCCCAUUCAAUGAGGAAUUCAAGGCGAUGCAAAGCAAGUUUCGAGAGUGAAGUUUUCCAAGGGGAUCAUUGUUCGUAUACAAGUCAUUCCGUACAUACCCAACGAUAGCCUUUCCGUUCUAAUUCAUUUGUAACAUCUCUAUCUUGUAAUGAAAGGAAGACACAAAAAGAAAUCAAAAAAGAAAAAGAGAAGGAAAAAGAGCAAAAAGAGAUUGAAAGUGGAAAGGAAUGUGAAACAAACAAUAAAAUUGAAAAAGAAUUUGAAGAAACAAAUGAAAAAGACGAGGAAAGGGUAGUGAGAAAUGUUUCCACUAACCAAGAUAGGAAUUUUU
rnacentral:lncRNA from 1 species